rnacentral:misc_RNA from 1 species
GCACCAGCGAUCCAAGAUGUCAGCGUUCUUGAGGCUGAAACUGUCUCAGAUGAUAAUGAUGAUAUUUGUUUUUUAUUUAAUGAUUUUAGAAUGUUUGAGCCCAGCUCAUGCUUUAUCAUCGUUUAGGACGCCUAGCUAUUCUACAAAGACUCCGUACUUCUGGGUUAACGACGAAAAGGAAACUAUAGCUCUUGAUUCUGAGACGUGGUUUGAGUAUGGUGAAAAGACAUGCCAAAUUAUUCAUUUAAACGCUGUCUUUCGCCACGGUGCUAGGUUUCCUAGUCUGAAAUGGAUCAAAAGAAUGACUACUCUGCAUGAAAAGUUAGUAGAAAAUGGCGUAGACGAACGAUAUCCUUUUCUAAAGGCUUGGAAAAACCCCUUUCCUGAGAAGAGUGAUAAAAUCAUAGCUGAAUUAGGCGAACAAGAACAAGAAAUGUUGGGCGAAAGGUUUGCUCACAGAUUUAAUUUACUAUUUGAUGAAGACAUGGAUAGUAUUCGAGUUGUGUCUUCUAGUAAACAAAGAAGCUAUGCUAGCAGUCUAUCAUUUUACACUGGAUUGUCACAAACUGUUUUUGGGGAAGCAGACAAGACAAUGGAACCAACAGUAAACGAUAUUGAGAUGAGAUUUCAUGACAAUUGUGUUCAUUUUGCUGAAUCUGUAGACAAAAAUAAAACGGCAACCAAUGAAUACUCAAAAUUUAAAUAUGGACCAGAAGUAGAUGUGAUUGCCAAGAAGCUGACAGAUGUUCUACAUUUACCCGAGAAGGCUGCUGUUACACCAGAUGAUCUGAAUACAAUUCACCAGUUGUGUGCUUUUGAGGAGGCUUUGACUGACGCAGGGUCAGAGUGGUGUCAGUUUCUGGACCAGGAAAGUCUGGAGGUCAUCCAGUACAUGAACGACCUGAAGCAAUAUUGGAAAAAGAUGUACGGGCAUGACAUUUCUUCUGCCAUGAGUUGUCCUCUCUUGAGUCGUAUUUUUACCACACUGGAUAAAGUGAUUCAGGCCAACAAUGCUGAUGAUGAGUAAGUCAUGUGUUGUUUUGUAUGGUUUUCUUCUUAUUUGUGAAAACAGUCUGAUAAUGAUUUAAUCCUCAGACUAAUAAAUUUUUAUUAAAUUUAAAAAAAGAGGAAGUUUUGUUUUGUGUUUGCAAGUCAAGACUUAAUGUUGAUGACAAUGCAAGUUUCUCUCUCCCCUUCCUUUGAUUUUAUUCUUUAAGAUAAAGUAAGUGUGUCUCUUUAUUUGUGGGAAAAGUAUGUAUACAUAUUAUCAUAUUGUAUUUUCUUAUGGAUAAAUAUCUACUGGCUAAUUUAUAUUUUCUACACCUAGUAUUUGUUUUAAGAAAACAGUGAUAAACACUGAACUGUUGACAUGCCAUCUUUCUGUGUUUUCUGUAGCUAUGCCGCGGCUGAGUUUGGAUUUGGUCAUGCGGAGACUCUGGCUCCUCUCUAUGCUUCACUCGGACUUUUUAAAGAUGAGCCACAGCUAAAGGCAGACAAUUUCAAGCUCCACCUCAACAGGAAGUUCCGUGCCAGCAGAGUGCUGCCGUUCUCAGCUAAUUUUGCCGUGGCGUUGUACCAGUGCGACUCAGGAGAAGACAACAAUGACUACCUAGAGUAUGUUGUCAGGUUUUAUGUAAACGAAAAAACAGUAGACAUUCCAGCAUGUGGGAAACAAGUGUGUCCCUAUAAGGAAGUCAGGGAGUUCUACAAGAAUCAAGUGGACAACUGCGAGUUCCACAAAAUGUGUAGAAACCCUGAGCCAAAAGAAAAUUCAGAGCACGAUGAGCUAUAACAAAUGCUUCAUAUCGACAAUACAGAAUGCGAGGAGGUCAUUGAACGGUGCUGAAACUCAGGAUACAUACCACAUUACAUGGAGCAAUUAUAUUGUUUCAUUUGAAAUACAUACUAGAUAAUAUUCAUCAUCUCUGUGAUAAUCAUAGUAUUUUUAUGAAGUCAUUAAAUAAGGACAAAGUUCCAGUAGUAUUAAAAGCCAAAACGAUGAUAAAUCAUAAUGAUCAGCUUUUUUUGGGGAGUAGGUUCAGGCCAAUCAGCCAUCUUUUAUUUUGAAACCUUCUACAUGUACUACGUAUACUUUGUCAUUCCUCGUCUCCGUAUCAGCUGAUCAUCAUUUGUCUUGUUGAUGUCAGACCUUGACCUUUAACCCUUUUCUAUGCUGUUUAUUAGUAUUAUGAACGGACAAUGUUUUAAAUAAUAAGACCCUAAAGGACCUCUGAAAAUAGCCUCUUACAAUAUGAAGCUACAUCUAUUUGCAUGACACAGGAAUCUAAAUUGAAUUUGUUACAUUAUGUAGUUGUUUCAGUGCAUAACUGUGUAUAGAUCUGAUGUUUGAUAAUGACAUGAACAAUGAUGGUUGUGUACUUUGGAAUACAGUAUAAUCAGGGUUUUUUUCUGCAAGGGGCUAAAUUUGCAAUAUUGUAUUAAAUACAGAAAAAUGUGUAGAAUAAAUAGUGUGUGUUUCAUCAGUCCAGAAAGUGAUAAAAAUAAAACUGCACAAUUAAUUGAAAAGGAAAUAGUAAAAGCAGUUUGUAUCUGGCUGUGUGUACCAAUCUCCUUCACUUCUACGUAACUGAACGCCUGGUAAUGAUCAAAAUUAACAAGUUAUUCAUUAUUUAUAAGCACAAGUUGUGCAAUGGUUGUAAAGUAUGGUUAUGUUUUAAAAAUUUAAGAGUAUUGAACUUUUUCUCAGAAUUUCUCGUACUCUCACUUAAUUUUUGUCAUUAUUCCUGUGUACAUGGAAAAUUGUGUAGAGAAAUUCCUGAUCGAAUAUUCUUGAAAUGAUUUUAAUAUUUUUUUUUUUUUACACACAUUGUUAUUUGUUUUUAGAUGAUUUAAUUUAAUGUUUUAGAAAAUGGUUUACUGUUUAAUUUUGUUUAUACAAUUUGAAGAUGUUGCAUUUUAUUGAAUUUAAAGUUACAGAGCAAUUUUUUGCAAUGCUAGAAGGAUAAAUUAUCUACAAUC